UGCUGAUUAUAUGUUUUUUUUUUCUAGUGUUUUUGUCAUUAUCACUGCUAACCUGAUAGCAGUUGAGGAUAUGAGUCAGUGUGACGGUAAUGUGAGGACUUCAGAACAUCCUGUCUGCUCAUUGGCCGAACAACCUCCUGUUAUUAUGUCUGACGGUAAAGAAAACAAUGAAGUCACAAUCAGCAGAGCUGCGGUCAACUGUGUGUUCACACUUUACUGCGUUUAAUCAGUUUAGUGUUAUGGAAGAUUCCAGAAUGGCUCAUCUGUGCUUGAGGCGGGGUGGUUGGACCACCUAUAGUCUGCACAUCAGAGUUCAUUCAAGCAAACACUCUACUCUACGGACAGCGGACAAGGAUCGGAGACAAUGGCUGCACCACAGAAAGGAGAUUUAUCAGAAUCUGAACGACGGUUGCUGCAGGUCGUAGCUGCUGGUGAUGUACAGGAAGCGGCCCAGCUGCUUGCCGGCGAAGAUGUCAGAGUCAACUGUUUGGAUGAGGUAAAAAAAAAAAAACAUUCCUUUCUUUUAUUAAUAAUAAAUUCCAUUAUUUAUAUCCAUGUGCUUAUUUCAAGAAUUAACCUUUAAAACUGACGAAAGUAUGUCUAAUAUCAAACUGCAAUGUUAAAUUAAAGAG